GACGAACGCUGGCGGCGCGCCUAACACAUGCAAGUCGAACGAGCGAGAGAGAGCUUGCUUUCUCGAGCGAGUGGCGAACGGGUGAGUAACGCGUGAGGAACCUGCCUCAAAGAGGGGGACAACAGUUGGAAACGACUGCUAAUACCGCAUAAGCCCACGACCCGGCAUCGGGUAGAGGGAAAAGGAGCAAUCCGCUUUGAGAUGGCCUCGCGUCCGAUUAGCUAGUUGGUGAGGUAACGGCCCACCAAGGCGACGAUCGGUAGCCGGACUGAGAGGUUGAACAGCCACAUUGGGACUGAGACACGGCCCAGACUCCUACGGGAGGCAGCAGUGGGGAAUAUUGCACAAUGGGGGAAACCCUGAUGCAGCGACGCCGCGUGGAGGAAGAAGGUCUUCGGAUUGUAAACUCCUGUUGUUGAGGAAGAUAAUGACGGUACUCAACAAGGAAGUGACGGCUAACUACGUG
rnacentral:rRNA from 1 species